CCUACGGGUGGCAGCAGUGGGGAAUAUUGGACAAUGGGCGAAAGCCUGAUCCAGCCAUGCCGCGUGUGUGAAGAAGGCCUUCGGGUUGUAAAGCACUUUCAGUGGGGAAGAAAGCCUUGGGGCUAAUACCCUCGAGGAAGGACAUCACCCACAGAAGAAGCACCGGCUAACUCCGUGCCAGCAGCCGCGGUAAUACGGAGGGUGCGAGCGUUAAUCGGAAUUACUGGGCGUAAAGCGCGCGUAGGCGGUCUGAUAAGCCGGUUGUGAAAGCCCCGGGCUCAACCUGGGAACGGCAUCCGAAACUGUCAGGCUAGAGUGCAGGAGAGGAAGGUAGAAUUCCCGGUGUAGCGGUGAAAUGCGUAGAGAUCGGGAGGAAUACCAGUGGCGAAGGCGGCCUUCUGGACUGACACUGACGCUGAGGUGCGAAAGCGUGGGUAGCAAACAGGAUUAGAUACCCCAGUAGUC
rnacentral:rRNA from 1 species